rnacentral:misc_RNA from 1 species
CAUAGGAAGGCAGCUGCUGCUACUGCUUCUGGCAAAUUCAAGGAUGAGAUAAUCCCUGUGGCUACCAAGAUUGUUGACCCAAAAACUGGACAUGAGAAACCUGUCACCAUCUCCGUUGAUGAUGGAAUUCGUCCUAACACAUCAUUAUCAGAGCUAGGAAAACUGAAGCCUGUGUUUAAGAAAGAUGGAACCACUACCGCUGGGAAUUCUAGCCAAGUAACUGAUGGUGCUGGGGCUGUGUUGCUCAUGAAAAGAAGUGUGGCAAUGCGUAAAGGGCUACCUAUCCUUGGUGUGUUCAGGACUUUUGCUGCUGUGGGUGUGGAUCCUGCCAUCAUGGGCAUUGGUCCAGCUGUAGCAAUUCCAGCUGCAGUGAAGGCUACUGGACUAGAACUUGCUGACAUUGAUCUUUUUGAGAUAAAUGAGGCAUUUGCUUCUCAGUUUGUUUAUUGCCGUAAGAAGUUGGAGCUUGAUCCGGAGAAGAUCAAUGUCAAUGGAGGUGCAAUGGCCAUUGGGCAUCCUCUAGGUGCAACAGGUGCCCGCUGU